rnacentral:rRNA from 1 species
AAUAGAUACCCAGGUAGUCCACGCUGUAAACGGUGGGUACUAGGUGUGGGUCCAUUCCACGGGUUCCGUGCCGUAGCUAACGCUUUAAGUACCCCGCCUGGGGAGUACGGCCGCAAGGCUAAAACUCAAAGGAAUUGACGGGGCCCCGCACAAGCGGCGGAGCAUGCGGAUUAAUUCGAUGCAACGCGUAGAACCUUACCUGGGUUUGACAUGGAUCGGGAGCGCUCAGAGAUGGGUGUGCCUCUUUUGGGGUCGGUUCACAGGUGGUGCAUGGCUGUCGUCAGCUCGUGUCGUGAGAUGUUGGGUUAAGUCCCGCAACGAGCGCAACCCUUGUUCACUGUUGCCAGCACGUUAUGGUGGGGACUCAGUGGAGACCGCCGGGGUCAACUCGGAGGAAGGUGGGGAUGACGUCAAGUCAUCAUGCCCCUUAUGUCCAGGGCUUCACGCAUGCUACAAUGGCUGGUACAGAGAGUGGCGAGCCUGUGAGGGUGAGCGAAUCUCGGAAAGCCGGUCUCAGUUCGGAUUGGGGU